rnacentral:misc_RNA from 1 species
ACAAACUUGGUCAUUUAGAGGAAGUAAAAGUCGUAACAAGGUUUCCGUAGGUGAACCUGCGGAAGGAUCAUUCAUAAUAGAGUAAAUUUUAUGGUGCUCUAAAAAAAUCCCAUAUCCACCUUGUGUGCAAUGUUAUUCUCUUUUGGGUUUUCCCAAGAUGAGAAAUUUUUAUAUCAACACCUUUUUAAAAUUAUAUUGUCUGAAACAUGUUACGAAUAUGUAUUUAUUUACUUAAUUCAAAACACAACUUUCAACAACGGAUCUCUUGGCUCUCGCAUCGAUGAAGAACGCAGC